GACAUCAAAAGUACAAUUAAAUUAUUAUCUAACUGUGCGGUGGGUGGGAUAGGACGUUAGGUUAGGAAUCUAACAUGAUAACAAGAAAUAGUAUUUAUAAUAUUUAAAACGACACAAUUUGUAUGCUUCAGUAUUUUCAGUUAUUUUAUAAUUAUUAUAUACAUGUGAUACGUUGACUUUUAUCUCUAUUACGCUCCAUACUCAAAAUACUACAACAAUUAACUAUACUAAAAGAAACAGCUGUAGAUUUAUUGGAUGACUGUUUGGGGCGUUGCCUAUUUAUAUUGAUAUUAGCGUUUGGGAUAUGAGUCAUGCGCAUAAUCUGUGCGUGUACGUCUACUAUAUUACUUGGUCCGAUUAACUUUAUCAGUAGCAUCACGGAAGUCUUGAGGUGUGGUCGUCACUGGAUUUUUAUUAAAAGAGAAAUAUAAAAAAUUACCAAGAACACAUUAAGUGAAAACAAAAUAUAUAUAUCAGAAAUAUGGAUAACCAAGAUAAACAACCGGACAACACGGGAAUCAUAGUGAUAGGUGAUUGCCCAUCCAGGUCAUAUCGUUGCCCUAUUUGCUACCGUCGCAGGGAAAUUGUCAGAUUAAUAGCCUGUGAUCAUAGAAUUUGCUUCAGUUGCGUCAUUCGUAUGGUUAAGCAUGGUUAUACUACAUGUCCACUUUGCCGCCAAGACAUGACUACAUCCUUGUAGUUGCCUCUUCCGGGUAAUC